UACGAAGGGGGCUAGCGUUGUUCGGAAUUACUGGGCGUAAAGCGCACGUAGGCGGAUCGAUCAGUCAGGGGUGAAAUCCCGGAGCUCAACUCCGGAACUGCCUUUGAUACUGGGUGUCUUGAGUGUGGAAGAGGUGAGUGGAAUUCCGAGUGUAGAGGUGAAAUUCGUAGAUAUCUGGAGGAACACCGGUGGCGAAGGCGGCAUCCUGGACCGGCAUUGACGCUGAGGAGCGAAAGCCAGGGGAGCAAACGGG
rnacentral:rRNA from 1 species